CAAAGAAUGAGAAGAGCAUUGCUGAAACUCAAAAAGCUGCAAUGAUCAGAGAAAAACAGGACAUGAUGACUGAGCUGAGAAAGAAGUCUGAAGAUGUUGAGCUUCAGAUGAAGGAGCUAUUGACUAAUCAGGAAAUAUUGAAAAAUGACAAAGAACUGCUGAAGAGAGACAUGGAAGAUCUGCAACAAAAACUAGUCAAUGUAGACAGAGACUCAGAGAGUCUGAAACAUGAGAGAGAAGCUUUGGAGAAUGAGAAGGAAGUAAUAAAAAAGAUCAAAACUGACCUGCAAAGAGAGACACAAGAGUUUGACAAGAUCAAACUACAAACACAACAGAGUUUGGAAAAGAUGGCUGAAGAACUUGAGAAAGAGAAAGAAAAUAUUCUUCAUCUUGCUGAAGAUACAAAGAGAAAACAUGAGAUUCUGGAUGAAAUGAAAGCUGCAAGUGAGUCUUCAAUGGCAGAUCUACAAAGAGAGAAAAACAACCUUAAAGAAAUGAAAUUGAACAUCUCCAAACAAAUUGAUGAUCUUGAAAAUGAGAAAGCUGCAAGUGAGUCUUCAAUGGCAGAUCUACAAAGAGAGAAAAACAACCUUGAGGAAUUUAGAUUGAACAUCUCCAAAGAAACUGAUCAAAUUGAAAACGAGAAAGAGAAAAUAAGACUGAGACAAGAUGAACUAGAUCAACUACAAGCAGAGAUUCAUAAACAACAAAGUGAAAUGAAAAACCUCAAAGAAAUCAUCAUGACUGAGAAGCAGCAGCUUGAUCUCAGAGAGACUGAAAUAGAAAAACAACAGAAGGAGCUGCAUGACAUUGUGGAGAUUGCAAAGAAUGAGAAGAGCAUUGCUGAAACUCAAAAAGCUGCAAUGAUCAGGGAAAAACAGGACAUGAUGACUGAGCUGAGAAAGAAGUCUGAAGAUGUUGAGCUUCAGAUGAAGCAGAUAUUGACUGAAAAGGAAAUAUUGGAAAAUGAUACACAACUGCUGAAGAGAAACAUGGAAGAUCUGCAACAAAAACUAGUUAAUGUAGACAGAGACUCAGAGAGUCUGAAACAUGAGAGAGAAGCUUUGGAGAAUGAGAAGGAAGUAAUAAAAAAGAUCAAAACUGACCUG
rnacentral:lncRNA from 1 species